rnacentral:rRNA from 1 species
UACGAAGGGGGCUAGCGUUGUUCGGAAUUACUGGGCGUAAAGCGCACGUAGGCGGGUCUGUAAGUAGAGGGUGAAAUCCCAGGGCUCAACCCUGGAACUGCCUUCUAGACUGCAGGCCUCGAGGUCAGGAGAGGCGAGUGGAAUACCGAGUGUAGAGGUGAAAUUCGUAGAUAUUCGGAGGAACACCAGUGGCGAAGGCGGCUCACUGGUCCAUUACUGACGCUGAGGUGCGAAAGCGUGGGGAGCAAACAGG